AGUGAAAUGCCUGAAUAAAGGAAUAUUUUGAUAGAAUAGAUCAUAUAAUUAAUUUUUAAUUAUUUUCGCUA
rnacentral:tRNA from 1 species